GCCACCAUCGUCUAGUGGUUAGGACACAUGGUUCUCAGCCAUGUAACUGGGGUUCAACUCCCCAUGGUGGUA
rnacentral:tRNA from 1 species